AUGCUGGAGAAGCAAGACAUGUAGCCUUUCAAACCUGUAACCUGCAGGAAUUUAAAAAGGUUGUUUACUGAUGCGCAAUCAAUCUCUACUUCAGGAGAAGAAAUCUCUUAUUUUCUGAACGUUGAAGGCAAUAAGUAUUUAAUGCACUCAUCUUCGGGUGGUGCCAGUUGGUAAAGGGUAUACAUUCAUUUUAUACUUUAAGGUCUUACUAUGUAAAAAUGUGUUGAGUUUAUGAAACAACACGUCAAUUAUUCGAAUAAGAUUUAUGAUUUUAGCUGCCUAUGGUUAUAUUUCUUACUAGUCUGGUACAUAGCAAUUAAUCGAUACAAAGGCACUUCAAUUUCUCCAACAUGUUCACACCCGGUAUGUGGUGCCUUUUAGCAUCGCCUUCCUGGGAAGUGAAUUACUAAAAUGCUUUUUUUUUCCUGUUGCUUGCUUGCCUGAAGCCACAUCAACAGCAAAAGUCGAAUAUUCUUGUGUACAAGAUUCAGAGACUGUAUGUUUCAAAAAUCUCCAAAGAAUGCUUUGCAUGAAUCAAGUUUCUUAAACAGUACAUUUUGUGCAGGUGGCAUCUUGGUGGGACUAUGGUUACCAAACAACUGCAAUGGCAAAUCGUACAGUCAUUGUUGAUAAUAAUACCUGGAAUAACACUCAUAUCGUAACUGUAGGUACUGCUAUGUCUUCUCCAGAGAAGCCAGCUCGGGAGAUAUUCAAUUCCCUGAAUGUCAAAUAUGUUCUGGUCAUCUUUGGAGGUUUGUGGAAACAGAUGGUAAAGGCUUUGAUAUAGUCAGGGGGACUGAAAUCGGGAAGAAACAUUUCAAGCUAUCCCAUUUUGAGGAGGUGUUCACUACACAUCAUUGGAUGGUUCGUAUUUACAAAUUGAAACCCCCGAAGAAUAGGAUUCGGGUGAAGUCUAACAAGUCUAAAUCGAAUUCCAAAGCGAACUCUACUAGCAAAUCGAAAAGGAUUGGCAAUAAUACAAAAAGGAAGAACCCCUGGCGGUGAAGUAAGCAAAGCGGAAUGACCUUCCAGCAUAGUGUAAAAGGACUUGCACAUGAAUUAUUACAAGAGUGAUAGAGCAGUUGAUAGCGGGUGGAUACAUGACCGAAUACAGAGAUUACGGGUCUUAUCACACCUUCCUAAUGUAUGUUUCUUUUUGCCUAAUUUUGUUUUACAUCAUCGCAUUUUUUAUUGGUCAUGGAAACUUGAAAUCUAGUCAUUUGUCAUGCGAUGUGAUUCAUCUG